AAAGCAAUAGAGAGGAAGCUGUAUUACAGCGGAAGACUGCGGCCAGCGCCCCGCCUCCCCCCAGCGAGGAGGCUGUGUCCAGCAGCUCUGAUGACGACUCCGGGACCGACCGGGAGGAGGAGGGCUCUGUGUCUCAGCGCUCCACCCCAGUGAAGAUGACUGACGCGGGGGACAGCGCCAAAGUGACCGAGAAUGUGGUCCAGCCCAUGAAAGAGGUAUAUGGGAUUAACCUCUUCGAUGGUAUCUCAGAGGAAGAUCUCUCCAUUUAUUCAAGAUUCGUUCAGCUGGGUCAGAGUCAACAUCAGCAGGACAAGAGCAGCCAGCAGCUCUGUUCCAGGUGCCCAGAUGGAGUUAUAAAACUGUGAGUACUAGAUUAGACCU